AUUCAAGACUCAAGUCUAUUGAAAUCUAAAUCUAGGAUCGCUAUAUAAUAUAAAAAUGUCUAUUGUUCAAUAGAUCUACUGUAUUGUAGGAUUGUAAUUGUUAAAAAACAUAUAUAAAUCUAGAAAAGGAGAAGCCAGACAUAGACUAGAUAAUGACUAGAUUUAAUUGCAGGAACAGAAACAUUCAAACUUCUAACUUGGCUAGAUCUAUUCUAGAUUGACUAGUCAUCAUCAAACUCCAUUAGAGUGAGGGCUUGAGAGGCUCAAAUCCUCUCUUGCAAAAGCCCUUGACAGAAACCCUGCUAUUUUGCGUAGUGCAUAAAUGUCGCCAUACAGGUCGAGAAUUUUGGGUUUCCUCUGAACAAUCCAAAGCUCUAUAAAGAAUGGUUUGUAAAAAUUAAACGAAAAAAAUCCACUGCAAGUGUACACUCAGUAAUCUUUUCUGAGCAUUUUGAGGAGGACUGUUUUAUUUAUCAGCCUUUUACAAAUCAUCUACUUCUAAAGCCUGGUGCAUUGCUGACCAAGUUUUCUUUUUCCAAAGGUACACCAAGCGAAAAAAGACCAAAUAUAUGAAUUUAGACAACCUCUUUUACCUCUGGACACUACAGAUGAGGAGAAGACUAGAGAUGUCAGUGUGCAAACUGAGGAAGACUUCUAAAGAGAGCAAUACUUUGGAAGCAAGUAAUACAAGCCUUCUGAAAGAAUUUGCUCAAUUGAAAUUGUGCUUUUAUUCUUUACUACUAAUAGGAGAUAUAAAGCCUUCAAAAAUUAAACAGGCUUUACAAGCAUACAAUUUGACACUAUAUUUCAUUUUAAGCAGCUGUUUAGAAGACAAUCUGUUGUUAGAUGCUAAGAAUCAACUACUGCUCACACUGAUUAAACUUAAGUAUGGGCUUGACCAACAAUGUACUUUCUUUUAUACUAAAUGUGAUUGAGUCAACUGUUUCUAGAAUUUUCACUAAAUGUAUUUAAGUAUUGUGUGCGAAAUGUCAAAGUGUCCAUAUAUGGCCUAGUGCUGAACAGUUCAAGGCAUUCAUGCGCUCUACUUUUGUCAACCAUUUCCCAGCAUGCUGUGUUAUUAUAGUAUUUUAUACAGCAGUCUAAAAAUCCCAAACAGCAGCAAAGCAGCUUUACCACCUAUAAAAAUCACAAUACUGUCAAGGCACUUAGUGUAGGCUGGGUGUUUACAGACUCCCAAUCCACUCUGCAAGCACUUAACAGCAGCACCUUAAAUGGUCCAAGAGAGUUGACAAAACUAAUUGUAAUAAUCCAUCAGAUGAUUUCAAAAUUAAAUAUCAAUAUCAUAUUACAGUGGAUCCCUGGACACAUUGGCAUCAUGGGAAAUGAAAAGGCUGAUAAACUAUCAAAGGCAGGAUCAUCUAUGGAACAACCAGAUAGACCUGUUAACUACCUCACCCUAAGGUCAAUGUUAGUCAACAAUCACAAAGAGGAGUGGCUCAACCAAUGGGCAACAGAAAACACAGGCAGAUCUACAAACUGGACAGUAUUAACUUCCUCCCCCGCAAAGAGCAAUCUACAAUCUUCCAGCUAAGAACUUAAAAUUUGUGUGUAUAUAAUUUAUUAAUAUAAGCUUGUUUAUUGUGUGCCUAAUGUUUAGAGAUUGUGUGUUUGUGUCACACACAAGCAGCAACCAAGAGGUCUUAGACAAAGCUAAUAUGUAGGAUAUUAAUAGUGAUAAUGCAUUCACUUGACCAUAGCAAGGAUGAUUGCAACUGACAUGGAACCUUACCAUAACCUUACCCCGUAGUUGAGAAACCUAGAUUUAUUGAACUUGCAAAAGUACUGGAGAAAAGAUACACUAUGCUUAGUCGCAAAUAAUUUACAGAAAGAGUUAUUCCAGAUAUCUAUGAAAACAUUUCAAAGCUUCAUCAAAUGCUAUCUUAUGCUAAAAGCAUUGCUUUCUCAACAGACACUUGCGCAGCUGAUAAUACUACCGAAUCAUAUUUUGGUUUAACUGCUUGUUGGUUGAAUGAGUGAUUUGACCAAAGCAGCUAUGCUUUGUAUUGUACAAAAUUUAAUGUCCAGCAUACAGCUGCUAACUUGCUGUCAUCAUUUGAAACAUCACUUGAAAAUUGGAACAUUCCUCGUGAAAACUGUCAUUUGGUUUUGUGAUGUAGCAAUGUAGCAAACAUCACCAAAUGCUUUCGUGACUGUAAAUUUGCAAGUGUUGGUUGCUAUGCACACACAAUACAACUUUGUGUACAUGACAGUGUUUUGAGUCAGCAAUGUGUAGUGGAUAUGAUUAAUGCAGCACCAAAAAUAGUUUGUCAUUUUAAACAUUUGUCCUCUGCAACUGACCGUUUACAUAACCUACAUGGCGAACUCAUCCUUCCACAACAUCAGUUCAGGACGUCACUACCCGCUGGAACUCCACCUUCCUUAUGUUAAAGAGGCUGAUUCCAUUAGUACAUGUUCUGAAGGCAUUCCUGCAGCAUGAGGGUAGUGAUAAAAGAAUUAAAAAUAUGAAAAGUACAUUUCUCGAAUCCCUGAACAGCAGGUUUGAAGACGUAGACAACAAUCGUCUGCUUGAUGCUCAUUUUGAGUCUCUUGUGCUAAAUGACAAUGCGUGCACUGAAGCAAAGGCUGGAGUCCUAAUUUGUGCAACACACCACCAAAGUCCUGUUAUGAAAACUGCAACACCAGCAGACGUCUUCUCUGAAGCAGUUGAACCACCAACAAAAAAGGCCAGGUUAGCUGAAUCCAGUUUGUGGGACUGUUUCGAUGAAUUGGUGGCACAAGAAGAAGCUAGUGCACCAAUGAUUGUGAGAGUGCAAAGACCUGAGUGAGCCAUUAAUUCAUCGAAAAGAUUAUCCAGUUUUAUGGUUGUAGGCCAAUCCCAAUUGAUUUCCUGGAUUAGCCAAGGUUGGUAAAAUAUACCUAGCACCACCUCCAACCAGUGUGCUAUCAGAAAGAUUGUUCAGCGUUGCUGAAUGAAUUAUCAAUGACUAUCGUACAAAACUUAUACCAGACAAUGCUGAAAAACUUAUUUUUCUGAAAUAUAAUUUAACUUUAAUGUAACAAUCAAUGAAUUCUGUUGAAACUUAGAUCUUGUCUUAAACAUUCAUUUAAUUUUGCUGUGCUUUAAUGCUUUCACUUCAAAGGGUGUGUAUAUUAUUAUUAUAUUAAAUGAGCAUUAUGUUUGAAAUA